AUGAAAGACGCUCACGAGAGAAACAUUCCACUCCUACUUCAGAAAGUGGCUUUUGUUGCUAUCGUUGUUAUUAUACUGAAGAGCUACAUGAGACAGAACGUUUGGCAGCCUUCCCACAAUCCUCAGCAUGUGGGAAUAGCAAGUAAUAAAGUGUUAGCCCCUGCCAACUGGUGGUUCCCUGUAAAAUGUCUCUGUUAACAACCAACACUGCUGCUAGCAGCCAUCGGAGCAAGGCGGCAAAUCUGUUCCUCUCUACAGUGUGGAAAACACCACUGAAAAAGUCAUCUAAUUACUUGAUUAAGAUGUAUCAAUCCUGAAAAUUGUUGAUCUAGAACACUGAGUCUCUGACAUUUAGUUUAUUCUUGAUUAAACACAAUAGUUUCAAACUGCCUCUUGUGUAUUGUCUUCAAAUACUGUGUGCCAUGCAGAGAAUUCGAACAGUAGAAACUUUUCAUGGGGGAGGAAAAAAAAACAGUUUGGGACCAAAUCUUUUCAACUCUUUCAAUACAGCUCUUCAAUAAGUCCCUGAGUUCAUAAAGGGAAAGGAUAGGACUUUCUACAAGUCUCUGUUAAGACUUGGGGAACAUAAUUAUUUUU
rnacentral:lncRNA from 1 species